rnacentral:rRNA from 1 species
UACGGGGGGGGCAAGCGUUGUUCGGAAUUACUGGGCGUAAAGGGCUCGUAGGCGGCCAACUAAGUCAUACGUGAAAUCCCUCGGCUUAACCGGGGAACUGCGUCUGAUACUGGAUGGCUUGAGAUUGGGAGAGGGAUGCGGAAUUCCAGGUGUAGCGGUGAAAUGCGUAGAUAUCUGGAGGAACGCCGGUGGCGAAGGCGGGACUCUGGGCCGAUACUGACGCUGAGGAGCGAAAGCGUGGGGAGCGAACAGG